GUCGACGUCGGAUAAUCCGGUAGUCCGCUAGGUUAAGACCCUAGUCGCCUUAGGGCAUUCAGGGUUCAAAUCCCUGCGUCGGCG
rnacentral:tRNA from 1 species